GUGUUCAUUUCAAGAGCACAUGUGCUAAAAUUGGAAUGAUACAGAGAAGAUUAGCAUGGCCCCUGUGCAAGGAUGACGUAAAUUUGUGAAACAUUAAAAGAAUAGUA
ensembl:snRNA U6 U6 spliceosomal RNA